rnacentral:rRNA from 1 species
UAGCUACAGGCUUAACACAUGCAAGUCGAGGGGCAGCAUGAUUGAAGCUUGCUUCAAUUGAUGGCGACCGGCGCACGGGUGAGUAACACGUAUCCAACCUGCCGAUAACUCGGGGAUAGCCUUUCGAAAGAAAGAUUAAUACCCGAUAGUAUAGUAUUUCCGCAUGGUUUCACUAUUAAAGAAUUUCGGUUAUCGAUGGGGAUGCGUUCCAUUAGAUAGUUGGCGGGGUAACGGCCCACCAAGUCAACGAUGGAUAGGGGUUCUGAGAGGAAGGUCCCCCACAUUGGAACUGAGACACGGUCCAAACUCCUACGGGAGGCAGCAGUGAGGAAUAUUGGUCAAUGGACGAGAGUCUGAACCAGCCAAGUAGCGUGAAGGAUGACUGCCCUAUGGGUUGUAAACUUCUUUCAUACGGGAAUAAAGUGGAGUAUGCAUACUCCUUUGUAUGUACCGUAUGAAUAAGGAUCGGCUAACUCCGUGCCAGCAGCCGCGGUAAUACGGAGGAUCCGAGCGUUAUCCGGAUUUAUUGGGUUUAAAGGGAGCGUAGGCGGGUGCUUAAGUCAGUUGUGAAAGUUUGCGGCUCAACCGUAAAAUUGCAGUUGAUACUGGGCGCCUUGAGUGCAGCAUAGGUAGGCGGAAUUCGUGGUGUAGCGGUGAAAUGCUUAGAUAUCACGAAGAACUCCGAUUGCGAAGGCAGCUUACUGGACUGUAACUGACGCUGAUGCUCGAAAGUGUGGGUAUCAAACAGG